CCAUUUUGUCAUGGCUGAGCAACCAAGCACUGCGGCAGCUCCGCCGUCUGAUUUGAAAACCCGGCCGGCGGGAAGCACCGAACACAGCUGGUGCAAGGCGGUUCCCGGCGGCACAGGAAUAACAGUAUUUGCUCUCCUUUUAUCAAAACCUCCAAACAUUUCACUUCUCCAAAAUACCCUCCAUAAACUCCAAAAUUCCAAUCCUAUCCUCAAAUCCAAACUUAGCUACUCACCAACUACCAAUUCUUUCUCUUACACCAUUCCCGCCACUUCUCAUCUUCAAAUCCAGCCGUUCGAUCUCUCAUCAACGGCUGACAUUCUCCGUAACCUCAAAACCUCCGAUCACAACUCCGUCUCCGAUUUUCAUCUCAUCUUCGAAAACGAACUCAACAACAACUCAUCAUGGGUAAACACAUCAGAUUCCAACACCGAUGUUCUUUUCGUGAGCAUUUAUCAACUAAACGACGAGAAAUCAGUCCUUACGUU
rnacentral:lncRNA from 1 species